GCCAGUGUGGUAUAAUGGUUUGAGUGUUGGACUAUGACUUUAGAGAUCAGGGUUAAAAUCCCUGCUCAGCCA